rfam:Pseudomonas tuomuerensis strain JCM 14085 PT85_6, whole genome shotgun sequence.
UUCGGCACCGCUGUUUCUUUCGCAGCUCCCCGCAAGCCGUCGUCGACGCAUUUAGCAUUCGUAUCUGCACGCGAUUUCUGGUCGCCUUCUCCGACGCGGC